UUUUUGUUCAACUUACAGAUUACAUUAUCUUUUCUUCUUGCAAAUGGUGGUGUUCACAGUAUUCGUGAAUUUCUGCAAAGAUGGAGAAAAAGUAAUAAGGAUCCUUGGUGUUCUCCACAGAGGAAGGACAAGAACUACUAGGCUUACACUAGUUACUUUUUUUUCUCCAAUUAAAUUUAAAAUAUCUUAUCCUCUCCUCAGAGUUUUCACAUAUAUGACUCACCUCAUUCAUUCUCCUGUUCCCUUCCACCUUCACCACCUCUCUGGUACUGUCCUCAACACUUUGCUUCCUUUAUGUGUUAUCCUUUCUGCUGAUGUAGAAAUACUUCAUAUCACAUGCUAGUUUGAGCUCCUGUUCUUUCUGUUCCAAACCAGAUAUGAAAACCUUUGC